rnacentral:lncRNA from 1 species
GAAAUAUGUAUUAAUAAAAUCUAGUGACACAUAAAUAGACAAAUAUAUCAUGACCAAGUGUUUAUGCCAAGAAUACAAGACUAGGUUAUCAUUCAAAAAUCAAUCAAUUAAUUUAUGAAAUUAAAUUCUAAAUAAGAAAAACCUACAUGAUUAUCUUAAUCCAGAAAAAUCAUUUGACCAAAUCUGGCACCUGUUUGUGGUUAAAAACCCUUAGUCUCUUAGCAACAUAGGCAUAAAAUAAAAAUUUAAUUUGAUACAGGCCUUUUACACAUGUCUUACAACUGGUGUCUCUCUUAAUCAUUGAAGACUGACUUGUUUUUCUUUUCAAUUGGGAGUGAAGUAUGAAUAUCUACCUUCAUUCCUUAUAUGCAGUAACAAUACUAGCAUGUGAUAUAGAACAUGUAAAAUGAUGAAUGAUUCUGAUUUAAAAAUAUCAAAGAGACCUGUUCAUUGGAAGACCCUAACCAAAACUGGUGUCUCUCAGGUAUAGAAGAAAGUGAGUUUUAUAAGAAAAAAAGAUAUAAGAAUCAACAUCCUGAUUUCAAGAAAUCAAUAAAUGGGAUGGUAUCAAAGUAAAAAUCCUCUUCAUAGAAAGGAAAGAAUCAAGAAUGUGAUUAAUAGGAGAAAAUCUUUGCCAUGUGCACCUCAGAUAGAGCAUUAAUCUCCAGGAUAUAUAAAUAACUCAAAAAACUGAACUCCAAAAAAACAAAUAACCCAAUCAAUAAAUGGGCAAAGCAACUGAACAGGCACUUCACAGAAGAAGAAAUACAAGUGAUCAACAAAUAAAUGAAAAAUAUUCAAUAUCACUAACCAUUAGAGAAAUGCAAAUUAAAAGUACACAUUGAGAUUUCAUCUCACUUUAGUCAAAGUGGCAAUCAUCAAGAAUACAAGUAGCAAUAAAUGUUAGUGAGGAUGUGGGUAAAAAGGUACAUUCAUACAUUGCUGUGGGGGGGCAGUCUGCGAAUUCAUACAAUCACUAUAGAAAACAGUGUGGAGAUUCCUCAGAAAACUAGGAAUGGAACCACGAAUUGAC